AUACCUUUCUCGGUCUUUUGGCUAUGAUCAAAUGUAGUACCUGUUCUUAUCAAUUUAAUAUCUAACUAGACAAUUGCCCGUGCGUUACAACGAGAGUAUAAACAUUCUAGUAGAUUAGCCCGUGACGGCGCGUCCAUUAUUAUAUUGACGCGCUAAAAUAU
rnacentral:snRNA from 2 species